GCACAGGCCAAAGGAGAGACGCCCAUCUCUGUCAUGGGAGAGUUCGCCUGUCUCAACAGAAGUCAAAGGUCAAUGGAUCCUGAUAAAGAUGAGGAGGAUGAGGAGGAGGACGAUGAGACAGAUGAGGAUCAGGACAUGGCCGUUCCUGUGGUUGUGGGGGAGGAGUCACUGGAGCCGCCCUCCAAACUCGCCCGAACGGAGCUCUACAACAGCAACACACCGAACUAACUUCAGCCUCUCGGACUGAAGUUCAUUCACACUGACACUGUCAGUCUGUGCAAACAAGGAUUCUGUAUGCUGAGCUCAUUUCUCUGGGAGCCAGUUUGGGAUCGAAAUACAAUCUUCAGUUUUGUUAAUUAUUAGGGGAAGUUCAGUUUCAGUUCAUUUCCUGGAAACACAGAGAAACUGAGCGAUCGUUUGAGUUUCCUGAGGUGAAUCAGCCCUCAGAGCUGCUGUAUGAUCUAACGAAGCUUUUCUAGAAAACGGUAACAUUCAUAUGCCUUAAGUAAGUGCACAAACACACACACACACAUUUUCUUUGCCUUCCCUUUGCAAAUCAAAGCUGCCAUGUGUGUCGUGUCUCGACUCUUAAAGUUACAGUUCACCCAAAAUUAAAAGCAUUCGCCUUCAAGUCAUUCCAAAGUCAUCUAUCUCCCAAAAAAAA